CACUACACGAGGACGCCACCGCGCCAGAACGCAGUCCACCGCGGGGCCUCCAAUGCACCCCAGCGCCCGAACUCACAGAGUCCCCGGGGCCCGGCGAAACCUUCCUCGGUAGUGUGAUAGGGGAUCUAAGUGCUUUACUUUGUAAGGCUUUUUUCAAGAGCAAAUAUCUUGGAGAAUAAGUGGUGGGUAAGACUGGUGCCAGCAGCCGCGGUAACCCCAGCGCCACAAGUAGCAGCCGAUAUUAUGGGCCUAAAGCGUCCGUAGCCGGCUGAGUGAAUCUUUGUGAAAUUGUUGCGCUUAACGUAACAACGUGCAGGAGACACUGCUCAGCUUGGAACCGGGAGGAGUUAGAGGUAUUAACGGGGUAGCGGUAAAAUGCUAUAAUCCCAUUAGGACCACCUGUGGCGAAGGCGUCUAACUAGAACGGAUUCGACGGUGAGGGACGAAAGCUAGGGGAGCAAUCCGGAUUAGAUACCCGAGUAGUCCUAGCUGUAAACGCUGCGAGCCAAGUGUUACAGAUUCUUUGUGAAUCUGUGGUGUUGAAACGAAGGUGUUAAGCUCGCCGCCUGGGAAGUACGGUCGCAAGACUGAAACUUAAAGGAAUUGGCGGGGGAGCACCACAAGGGGUGCGGCGUGCGGUUUAAUCGAACUCAACGCCGAAAAUCUCACCAGGAGCGACGGCAGAAUGAAAGUCAGAUUGAAGGUCUUACUUGACGAGCCGAGAGGUAGUGCAUGGCCGUCGUCAGCUCGUGCCGUGAGGUGUCCUGUUAAGUCAGGCAACGAGCGAGACCUGUACCUACAAUUGCUAACAACUCUUUCAGAGGAUUGAGCACAUUGUAGGGACUGCCUGUGAAAACAGGAGGAAGGUGCAGGCAACGGUAGGUCUGUAUGCUCCGAAUCUCUUGGGCUACACGCGCGCAACAAUGGUAGGGACAAUGGGACACAACUCCGAAAGGAGAAGUUAAUCCUCUAAACCCUAUCCUAGUCCGGAUUGAGGGCUGUCAUUCGCCCUCAUGACGAUGAAUCCCUAUAAUCAGAGCCUAUCCUCUGUGA
rnacentral:rRNA from 1 species